CGGACGCCGGGGCCCGCCAUCCCCAACGUCCACCGCGAGCUCCCCAGAUCCAUGGUCUGGAGCAGGUCCAGAAGACGCACCUGGCAGGACGCCCCGGGCGCCACAGUCGCCCUCCACACGGGCCACCCCAAUCCUGCCGCGGCUCCGUGGCUCUCCUUACCUUUACCUGAGGUGAAGCAAGGACGUGGAAGCAGCUACGGCGCGCUACCAAGCACCUCACACCGCUCUCAACAGUACUGCUCAGCCUCCCGGCCCGCCGAUGCGCAGGCGACAGCAGCCAACUUGGAUGCUCUUCACUUCUUACAAAUUGGCAUGCCAGGCUGCUGCUCAGGUAAUCUGCCUCUUGGACCGGCUCUGAAAAUGGGACAAUGAUCAGUGCAAGAUCCCUGAGAUGCUGAGACACGAUGGGAUGGAAGAAAGCUAUGGGACAAGUGGCCUUUCAUAGGAGGAGGAGCUCCUUGUCAAAUGUGAGGAGCGAAGCAGGACAGGAGCAUGAGAACAGGGAAGCCAGAAGUUAUGGGGACACUCAAGCAGCACUAGGGAGAGGCUCAUGAGUAGAAGAACUGAGGCAUCCUGCAAACAGCCAUGGACUAACCUGUAUUGGGAGCAGAUUCUCCAGCUCCACGGUCUGUUCCUUAGUCUCUGUUGAGGUGAAACUCCAAUAUCUGAACCCACCAGCCAAAUAAGCAACCUGUGUACAAGCCAAGUUAAAAUUUCACUCCCGUAAUGGAUGAGGAGAAACCAGAAGACAUUUCUCAUGCACAGGGAGUGCAUGAAUCCCCUGAAUUGCCAGGUUUCAGGGUCACAUGAGACCUCUAGAAGGCUCUGCUCAUCAUCACCUUAUCAUCUGGCUGAUAUACCUAUUCUAACGAAGGAGGGAGAGGAGUAAUGCACAAGAAACUCAGGCCAAUGGGGGAGCAAGAAGAAAACGAAGAAGUGCAGUGCAUGCGUCAUCGGUGUUUAACAGUCAGAAGCGAAACAGUUCAGAACAAGGCCUGCCCUGUCAAAAGAAGAGCUAAAGACAGUUAUAUAAAAAUUAAGGAAUAACUCAAUCUCAGUGUGACUACUGAUCCGCCGCCACGUGGCUUCCCGGACACACUGCUGCAGCGCCAACAGUGGAGAGGAGCUCUCCAUCACAACCAGACAGCAGAAGCACAGCACAGUGAAGCACACCUGCCCACAUGAUGCACAAUACAGGUAUUCAUUUACAACAGAUAGAUUUUAUGCCCUGUACAGGUAUGAACACAGUGAAGAUUUGACGAUGGUCUCUCUUUCAGCUGAACUCUGGAGUUUUAAUUACUGACAUUUUCUUGGAAGAAAUUAUCCUUUGUGGUUUUAAAACAUGUGGGCUUUUUUUUUUGUUGCUCAAGUCACAUGUUCUAACAAGACAGUUUUAAUAAGCCAGUUUGACUAGAUGUAAAGUACUUGGAUUAAAGUGAUAAUCUUACUUUGUGGCCUAUAAAUUAACACAUCUGAAUUUCUUUUUAAGAAUUCAGAAACCAGUAACUUCCAAACAACUUGAAAUUGAAUAAAUAUUUUCAGCAACCCAGGGGUGAACUAAAUGCAACAGAUUAUUCAACUUUAAAAAGUCUUACUUACUGUACAGAUUUUCCAUAUUAAACAUCUGGUAUGCCUCAAUUUUUUACUUAAAAGUCUCGGACUUUGAGAGCAUACAGCAUUUUUUGCACAUAUAUAACCAUGAUGUACUUUAAUAUUCCAAUCUUAGGUUGUGAUUUUAGAGGUUGUUUUGGUAUCAUUAAAUACCAAUGGGACCAAACCAGAAAAUUAAAUAAAAAUAUAAUUCACCACUCACACACCCUUAAGGGUCUAGAUUCAAUUUCCAAAAGCAUAAUAUUGGGUAGUUACUUGCAGUUGUGAAAAUAAUUUCAAUCUUGGAAUCUUGGUACACAGUCCCAAAAUUUAAAAAAAAAAAAAAAAAAAGGAAAUCCACUGUAAUCCCAGUGUCUUUAAAAUAAUGCUGCCAGCCCGACCCCACCUCACCCCACAGUCAACCAGUUACCAUGGUUCAGGAUAGGACAAACUUAGGUUUUGGACAAAUGAAGAGUUCAAUGGCUGUUAAUUGUCACAGGCAAGAAAAGAAGGAAAACCAAAAGUUGAUAAAUGUUAACUCAACAAUUAUAGUCUUUACACAGCUUGCCUUAAAACUGCUCCAGUUCAGACUUACUCUGUUCAAAAGUGAAUAUACAGAACGUUAGUGUAUCUCUCUAUUUAAAUCUCAGUCUCAGUACUAAUCUUCUACCUCCAUGAAACAUACACAACAAAACAAAAGGAAGAGCUAGGGAUUUGGGAAGAGGCACUUCCAGAAAAAAAGAAAGUGACGAUUAUUUCAGAUUUGAAUUUACCAUUUUUACCAUUUUUUCUGUUUCAAGGUCCCAGAUAAUAUACAUUUCUUCAUUAAUUAUUCAUUUUCUGAGUGCCUACUAUGGCUGGAGUACUCUAUUCGAUUUCAAGCUUAGAGAGAGAUUGAAACAGAAACAGUAACAGUCCCUGCCCAUCUCACCCUUCAUUAACUUGCUGUGUGGAAGACAAGCAUACAGACUGGACCCUCAUGAGGCAAUGGUAGUAGGGCCCACAGGGAGGUGUGCUACUGAAGCACCCUGAGGGCCUGGAGCCCACCAUGCCCGUGGAGAGAGGUGCUCCUGAGGAGACAGAGUUCUGUGCGUUCUCCCUAUGGAGUCCUGCAUUUACUAGAUUUCAAUCCUCUUCCCCUGACUGAUUUCAAUCCACACACCCUCCCACUAUUUUUUUUUUUUUUAAAUAAUAAUAGGCUUUCUGCCCCAACUAAAGGAAUUUUAGGCUUCUGCAACAAGUGGAGGAGGCAUUUUGAAGAUGGGACACAAAGAAGUCUUCUUUCUCCAGAUCCAGAAGUCAGGCCUUGUAAGAAUUCAAGCCAAAAAAAGUUCAUCCAUGGGAAAAACGGUUCUUCUAUCAUCCAGCACGUAUUUGUGCCAACAGAGCUGAGGGACUUGAGUAAUUCAAGAGGCUAGGGGUUGGGGGGCAGAUGUGUCCAGUGGCUCCCACAGCCCCGCCGUCCUGAAAGUCACGCCAGUUAAUGUGCCUCGGGGUGGAUCAGCCCUCCCGACAGAUGACUACUAGGAAAUUAAUCCCCAGUUAAUAAUGUGCUUUGGACCAAGUAAGUCAAGAUUAUUUUUCCUACAAUUAUACAAAGAUAUGCUUUUCCAGAAGGGAACUUCUGGAAAAAGAACAAAUAACACUAUGCUUAAAAUAUUAUUCACAUAUUUAGAGAAGAAAGAACUUAAAAUAGCAGAAGACCUGAAUACCAUGAUCCACGGUGCCCACCCCUGGGAGCAUGUCUUUGUGUGAGACAAGACCUAGCACAGCAGGGCUGGCUUUCUAAGGGUACGGUGAGGCACCACUGAACUCAUCAAGGAACUAUGCCUAGUCUUGCCCCUCUGGUUUAUGUCACCAGUAUCAAAGAGAGAGGACCUCUGGAUGCCUGAAUGAGGCAAGAACUAAUGUGAAGGCCUCAGCUGCCUUAAGAGAAUUAUGCCCUGAUCUGGCACAGUGACGAAUGUCUGUGGUUAUACUGCUCGUGCCGCUGGUGUGCUGCUGGUGAGGUGGUGGGGUGUGGGUGUCUUUUAAGGAAAGCGCUACUAUUUUAGCUCUCUUCCACUCCAGCUCUACAAAUCAGUGCAAGUCUAGUUCAGGCAGGGUCAAACCAUUUUGUUCACCUACUUUCCUGCCAGUGAUUUCAACCUUGACCUUCAAAAAUGCUCUGCAAGAUUAAAAGUGAUUUAAGAUUGUUUUCUUUCAGUGCAAACUGCCAGUUGAUACAACCUCUUCAGUUUCUGCCUGCCAGUAUAAGAUAGGGAAUUGUUGAUACUAUUUAGUGUAAAUAAAAUAAUUUCUUAAACAUUGAAAUACCAGUAACAGCUGGGGGAGGACUCACCGUUAGUCAAUUACACUUAUGAAACUUUCAAAUAGAAAUUUUAUUUUCAGUGGAUUCUGUUUUUCUUUCUUAACUGCAAAAUCAGCAAGUCAUUGGUUAAAAAGUAUACUCUCCCCGCUUGAAGUCAAACAAGUAUUCACCCUAAGAGGCAAAGUCCAGUAUCUACAGUAAAAACUGGACCUGACCUUUGGUAUUCCGCAAGGGCCUGAACUUCCAUUCCAUUCCCAGUGCUGGAUGUGGAGAAUGGGUGAUCCCAAGCAACAAUCAUUUGCCUUUCUGUCAAAAGCUGUCUCGGUUUAAAUGUACUGUAUUUUCUUUGCCUCUUCUUCUCAUCGGAACAUGUUCUAGUCUACUCGCCAGGUGCUACUUCUGGCAGUCAGAAAUAGUGCCACUUUUCAACUUCAAGUUUCUUACCAACCUUUUUUGCAUUCAUGCAGCAAGAGUUCAUGAAAUAGCUGCAAAGUGCUGGACACUGUUAGGUUGUGGGAAUUGCAAGAGAAACAGAGUUUCUGCCUUCUAGAUGCUCACGUCUGGGGGUGGGGCAGGUACAGCAGGGGUGAUCAAUCCACAAAAAUUUACUUUUAAAAAUGUGUUAUGGGCUGACUUGUAUCACCUCAAAAUUCAUAUGGGGAAGUCCUAACCACCAAUACCUCAGAAUGUGAUUGUAUUUGGAAACAGGAUCUUUGCAGAGGCAAUUAAGUUAAAAUAAGGACAUCAUCAGGGUGGGCCCUAAUCUCAAGUGACCCAUGUCCUUCUAAGAAGAGAUUAGGACACAGAUACACAGAGGAAAGACCAUAUGAAGACACAGGGAGAAGACAGCCAUCUACAAGCCCAGAAGGGAGGCCUCAGAAGAAACCAACCCUGCCAACAUCUUGAUCUCAGACUUCCAGCGUCCAGAUUGUUAGAAAAUAAAUUUCUGUUGUGUAAGCUGCCCAGUCUGUGGCACUUUGUUAUGGCAGCCCUCGCAAACUAAACACAGUGUGCUUUUUAAGGGCAACAACAAAAAAGAAAUAUAUAGGUUAAGUCAAAUGUAAUAGCUGCUGGAACAUCUAUCAACAGACUAAACAACAAACAAAACCAACAUUUAGCAUAAUAUCCAGUAGUGCUGUCAACAAAGGAAAUGGGGGUGGCAGUGAGCACAUCUGGGAGGGCAUUUGAUGGCUGUCAGAAUCAGCCAAGGAAGAUGAUAGAAGGGUGAGGGAUAAGUGCAGAAUAAGCUCCAUGCAGGCAAGUGGCCCUGUAGCCAGGUCUCCCUGCAGCUCCUAGGGGCCACAGCAGUAACAAGACCCACAUGAACCCAUGAGUUUCUGUGCCCUCAGUUUUCUAACUAGUUCAGAAUAUUAGGAACUGACAAUGACCCUAUCACUGAAGCUUUUGAGUGCUGAUAAUAUGAGGGUCAGAAAACUGGUAAGCUGAUCCAUCUAUCUAGAGUCCAUCUGUGCUUGCUGAACUGUAAAGCUGCCCAUUCUUCUUGGUGCUCAUCAACUGACACUCCAAACAUGGACACGUGGCUGAUACUGCAUUCCAUUCAUUCAUUGUCUGAAUUCAAGUUUGUGUUUUUCAUGAAGGCCAAUUAAAUUAACUUUCUUUUUGACACUUCA
rnacentral:lncRNA from 1 species